rnacentral:lncRNA from 1 species
AUCUUUUGGUAAGUUUUUUUGUACUCCUGAAUGUCCCGCAAUUGCACUCGCACGUCACUCAUGAAAUAGACAAGGAACUCAAGAUGAUGAUCGAGGCAGCACUAAACAACUUUGAUAAAGGAUUCAGUCACCUUCAUCACUAAGCCUCGGUGGUGCGGAAGUCCCUUCUCGAACUUGCUGCCUUAUUAUCCAAAAUUCAUGAGCCCAGGACAGCUCUCACAAAACCUCAUUCCAUUAGACUAUCCAAAACCUCAUUCCAUUAGACUAUCCAAAACCUCAUUCCAUUAGACUAUCCAUGGUACUGAAAGGGUACCGAAGGAUGUUGAUGUCCCCUUUCAUGAAUGUACAUCAGUCGUGUUUUUUUUUGGUCCUAUAUUAAAUUUCAAUAUUAUAUCCUAAUAGUUUGGACAUCCAAUUUUGAUGUUCCUCAAUAAUGAUUUGUUGUUGUAAGUAAACAUUUAAAUCUUCGUUGGUUUGGCUGAACUAUGAAACACUUUCACACGAAGUAUGGAUGCCACUUUUGAAUGGCGAAUACUAUCGCUAUUAGUUCUCUUUCAUCAACUGGCUUGUACCGAGAACCGGUACCAAGGACCUAACUGUAUUAGGCCUUAGGCCACUGGUAUUCCUCCUUGCAUGAGGACUGCCCCCAACCCAAGGCAUGAUGCAUCGGUUUCCAUAAUGAAUUCCUUGGGUAAAAUACAGUAUUACCAAGACCGGUAUUUAUAUCAUUGUUGUUUGGUCACUACUAGAAAAAAGGCUUUUCUUGACAGACGAGUAGAUAAAAAGCAUAUAUAAAAGAACACCUUUAGAAGAGUAGAUAAAAAGCGACAGAUCUGUUUUAGAGCCUUGAAAGCCGAGAGCAUGAAGAGCAGUAGACAACCGUUGGAACCAAGCUCGGGGAGCUUGCUUAAGUCCAUACAAAGACUUAAGAAGAACACAAACAUGAUUGGGUUUCGUUGGAUCAACGAAACCCGGUGGUCGUUUUAAAUAGACCGUCUCGGUGAGAUUUCCAUGUAAAAAUGCAUUCUGAACAUCAAGUUGUCGUAAAGGCCAAUUAUGUGUCACCGCCAAAGAUAGAACAACCCGAAUAGUAGUCGAUUUUACAACUGGACUGAAAGUCUCAUGAUAGUCAAGACCCUGUUGUUGAUAAAACCUUUAGCAACCAAACGUGCUUUGUAGCGCACAAUAUCCCCGGUAUGAUCGCGCUUGAGUUUGUAAACCCAUUUACAUUCAACGACAUUCAUAUUUGAGACACGAGGAACUAAGGACCAAGUAUUGUUCCGUAGAAGAGCAGAAUACUCUUCUGCCAUGGCCUGACGCCAUUGAGGCAAUUUGUUAGCAAUAGUAAAGGUUGUGGGUUCAGUGUCAGGAGAGGAAGUAUGAGUGUGAUACGAGGUGGGAUCAUAUGGUUUGGUAGGCUUAGGAUUAGGACGUAGGUUGGAGGGUCGAACGCAUGGUUGAGAUUGGGUAGCUUCUGGUUGGGGAAUGGCAGUUUGAGGGAGAGAGGUGUCAAGUUGAGAUGUGGUGGUUCGCGGGCGUCGGUGAUAAGUAUGGACGAGAGGGGGACAUUGUUGAGAUUUACAGGAAGGAGGAGAUGUAGAAGAUAUAGGAGAUGUAGGUGGAGUAGUAGGUAAUAUGGGUGGUGGUGUAGUGGGUAUAUUUGAAGGAUCAGGAGUAGGAUAGGACGAUGUAUAUGGGUUAGAAGAAGAAGGUUCGGGUGGAGUUGGGGGGUUGAUGUUGUAUGGAAAGGAUCGUUGAUGAAACCAAAAAUGACGAACUAUAUAAAGUCGUUCAGAGAAAGGAUCAAAGCAUCGGUAACCAUGAUGGGAUGUGCUAUAUCCAAGAAACACACAUGGGAGAGAGCGAAAAUCCAUUUUAUGGUUGUUGUAUGGACGAAGGUGCGGAAAGCAUUGACAACCGAACACACUAAGAAAUAAAAAAUCAGGUUUGUGUUUGAAAAGAUGUUCAAAAGGUGAGAUGUUUUUGUUUGUACGGGAAGGCAUGCGAUUUAUAAGAUAAACAAUUGUGUCAAAAGCAAAAUGCCAAAAACGUUGUGGAACAGAGGAUUAGGCAAAAAGAGUAAGACCGGUUUCCACAACAUGACGGUGACGAUGUUCUACAAGAGCAUUUUGUUCACUUGUAUGAGGACAAGAUAGGCGAUGGGUGAUACCGAGAGAUGAGAAAAAUUGUGAAAGAUUUCGAAAUUCACUGCCUCAUUCAGUUUGAACUGAUUUUAACUUAGUUUGGAACUGCCAUUCAACAGUAAGAAUAAAUUGUUUGAAAGUAUUAUAGACAUCAGAUUUGGCUUUUAAAGGAAAAAACCACAUAAAGCGGGAAAAAUGAUCAACACACAAUAAAAAAUAUCGAUGCCCAUCAAAUGAGGUAACAGGAGCAGGUACCCAAACAUCAUAGAAAAGUAAGUCUAAAAUAUGAGAGCUUUUAAGCAUAACCUUUUUUCCCUUUUAGCAGCAAGUUCAACAUUCGUAAGUCUUUCGAAUGUCCAUGGCUAUGCCCCAUGCCUCCUCCAACAUUCCUAUCGUAGGUUUCCAUAGCUCCUUGGGUUUGCAUAGGCAUCAUAUUGCUUCCAAAAUCCAUUGGUGUUGCUGAUGAUCGGAAUAGCCCACACCCCGAUCGUUCCCUCUCUCAUUGACACGGUUCUCAUUACCGCCAAUCCCAUUGUGUGGGUCAAGCCCUAGGGUUGUAUGACCCUCACCAACUAUCUAGGUUCCGAUUUUAGCUGCUUGAUGGAAGUUCUUUCCCAAAAUUUAUAAUAUAAUCCUAUAAUAGUGGAACGUCCCCUCCUUUCGGAAACGAUCAAGGAGACACCGUGUCAGUCCUCUUCAUAUGGAAACAUAUCGAAACAGUGACGUUUAGACAAUAAAAAGACAAAUCUCCCUAUUAAUUAAUAACCCUGUUUCUGGUGACGCUUAUAGACUUGUCCAAAUUUGCAAGAUGAAUCAGAUUAAUGAAGCUAACACUCGAAACGACGAACCAGACAGCCUCCUGAUGAGUGAUUAUGACUCGGGUAAUGAAAUGGAAGAUGUCAGAGUAAAGAUGACUAUGGCAUAAAAUUCUGAUCCAAAUUCAUACGAUGAGGUUUUUAAAAGGAAGAAUUGAACAAGUGUUGUGAUGGAUGCAUGAGAUCAAGUCGACUAAGAAGACCACUAAUGGAGCUUAGUUGGGCUGCCAAAAUGAGCUAAAACUAGUGAAUCCAUAAGACCAAGCUGAUGCAUAAGGCCUUAUUAGUAGCAAAAAAAAGAGACUCAUAGAGGUAUGGAGUUGAUUAUUUAGAAGUUUAUGUACCUCGUAUGGAAACAGUAAGGAACUACUAUGGCAUUGGAUUCUCAAAAAAGGUGGACCACUACCAGCUACAAGUCAAAUCUCUGUUUCUAGAUGGAAAGCUGAAUGAAGAUGUGUACCAAAGCAAACACAAGGGUUCGAAGUAAAGGCUUCAGAGACGAAAGUGUACAAAGAACAUAAAGUUCUCUAUUGGUUCAAACAAGCACACAUGCAUGGUUCAAUCAACAGCCAUUAUACCAACAGGACUCAAUGCUCAAACUCAAAUUUUGAACAUAUAUGAUAUCGUAAGGUCAGGAUGAUGACUGUAAAUACUAAAAGGGAAGAAUAUCCAUGAUCCAUCACAUUCUCUAACAAAACUCGCCACUUCAAAUUUAAUCAGUUAGCCGCUAUAUAUAUAACUACAUAUUCCAGGUAAAGAUGGGUUUGAUUAUUAUAAUUUUUACGAUGCAAUUCAAAGAACUUAAAAUGCAACAUAUUCCAAUCCGAAACAUAUAUGGAUUUACCUGAGUUAUUGACGGAUUUGCAGAGGUAGAAUAAAACCGUCCAAACCUGGAUCACACGUUGAUGGAAUGAAAGGGGUGUUUGGAUGUGCAUGCUCAGACCACACAAACAUACUGAGUGAGGGAACUCCUUUCAUGCGGCAAUGAAUUCAAUAAACAAAUAAGUGCCUCCAACUGCUCCCUAGGCGUUAAUAACCAUCUUUGAAUCAGAUAAGGAUGGCUCAAACACCAAUGGCGUAUGAGCUAUGCUCACACAUUAAACAGAGAAGAAAAAAGUACAGCCGAAUAUGAAGAGACGAUUAGGAAGAACUUUAGGCAGGAUUACGAAGAAACACUAGGAAUUUUAUUAUUAAAAAGGUAUCAUCUUAUAUACAGCUAUACACAGCUCAACAGCUGUAAGCUAGAGCUCCAGUAAUGCGUAUCCAAAGUAAGUUGGUGCAGAUUUUCAUCAAACACUUGUACUGCAGUUCAAUGGCACCCAUAGCAUAGAGCAUCUGGUCCUCUUCUUCAUCUUAUUUUCCCAUUAGGCUAUUUAUAGGACCCGUUAGGGUAACAAUUGACCCCUGCAAACUUGGCAUCGCAGUUUAAGCAUAACCUUUUUUCCCUUUUAGCAGCAAGUUCAACAUUCGUAAGUCUUUCGAAUGUCCAUGGCUAUGCCCCAUGCCUCCUCCAACAUUCCUAUCGUAGCCAUUGUGAAAUAUUUAUGGUGUUGACACACGUCACACUCCGCCAUCAUUCUUGCUAUGCCUUUACACAUACCCUCCCAGUAUACUUCCUUUGCCAUUUUUUGGUAAGUUUUUGUACUCCUGAAAUGUCCCGCAAUUGCACUCGCACGUCACUCAUGAAAUAGACAAGGAACUCAAGAUGAUGAUCGAGGCAGCACUAAACAACUUUGAUAAAGGAUUCAGUCACCUUCAUCACUAAGCCUCGGUGGUGCGAAAGUCCCUUCUCGAACUUGCUGCCUUAUUAUCCAAAAUUCUUGAGCCCAGGACAUCUCUCACAAAACCUCAUUCCAUUAGACUAUCCAAAACCCCAUUCCAUUAGACUAUCCAUGGUACUGAAAGGGUACCGAAGGUUGACAAUGUCCCCUUUCAUGAAUGUAUAUCAGUUGUGUUUUUUUUUGGGCCUAUACUAAAUUUCAAAAUUAUAUCCUAAUAGUUUGGACAUCCAAUUUUGAUGUUCCUCAGUAAUGAUUUGUUGUUGUAAGUAAACAUUUAAAUCUUCGUUGGUUUGCCUGAACUAUGAAACACUUUCACACGAAGUAUGGAUGCCACUUUUGAAUGGCGAAUACUAUCGCUGUUAGUUCUGUUUCAUCAAGUGGCUUGUGCCAAGAACCGGUACCAAGGACCUAACUGUAUUAGGCCUUAGGCCACUGGUAUUCCUCCUUGCAUGAGAACUGCCCCCAACCCAAGGCAUGAUGCAUCGGUUUCCAUAAUGAAUUCCUUGGGUAAAAUACAGUAUUACCAACACCGGUAUUUAUAUCAUUGUUGUUUGGUCAUUACUAGGAAAAAGGCUUUUCUUGACAGACGAGUAGAUAAAAAGCAUAUAUAAAAGAACACCUUUAGAAGAGUAGAUAAAAAGCGUCGGAUCUGUUUUAGAGCCUUGAAAGCCGAGAGCAUGAAGAGCAGUAGACAACCGUUGGAACCAAGCUCAUGGAGCUUGCUUAAGUCCAUACAAAGACUUAAGAAGAACAAAAACAUGAUUGGGUCUCGUUGGAUCAACGAAACCCGGUGGUUGUUGUAAAUAGACCGUCUCAGUGAGAUUUCCAUGUAAAAAUGCAUUCUGAACAUCAAGUUGUCGUAAAGGCCAAUUAUGUGUCACCGCCAAAGAUAGAACAACCCGAAUAGUAGUCGAUUUUACAACUGGACUGAAAGUCUCAUGAUAGUCAAGACCCUGUUGUUGAUAAAACCUUUAGCAACCAAACGUGCUUUGUAGCGCACAAUAGCCCCGGUAUGAUCGCGCUUGAGUUUGUAAACCCAUUUACAUUCAACGACAUUCAUAUUUGAGACACGAGGAACUAAGGACCAAGUAUUGUUCCGUAGAAGAGCAGAAUACUCUUCUGCCAUGGCCUGACGCCAUUGAGGCAAUUUGUUAGCAAUAGUAAAGGUUGUGGGUUCAGUGUCAGGAGAGGAAGUAUGAGUGUGAUACGAGGUGGGAUCAUAUGGUUUGGUAGGCUUAGGAUUAGGAUGAUGGUUGGAGGAUCGAACGCGUGGUUGAAAUUGGGUAGCUUCUGGUUGGGGAAUGGCAGUUUGAGGGAGAGAGGUGUCAAGUUGAGAUGUGGUGGUUUGCGGGCGUCAGUGAUAAGUAUGGAGGAGAGGGGGACAUUGUGGAGAUUUACAGGAAGGAGGAGAUGUAGAAGAUAUAGGAGAUAUAGGUGGAGUAGUAGGUAAUAUGGGUGGUGGUGUAGUGGGUAUAUUUGAAGGAUCAGGAGUAGGAUAGGACGAUGUAUAUGGGUUAGAAGAAGAAGGUUCGGGUGGAGUUGGCGGGUUGAUGUUGUAUGGAAAGUUUCGUUGAUGAAACCAAAAAUGACGAACUAUAUAAAGUCGUUCAGAGAAAGGAUCAAAGCAUCGGUAACCAUGAUGGGAUGUGCUAUAUACAAGAAACACACAUGGGAGAGAGCGAAAAUCCAUUUUAUGGUUGUUGUAUGGACGAAGGUGCGGAAAGCAUUGACAACCGAACACACUAAGAAAUGAAAAAUCAGGUUUGUGUUUGAAAACAUGUUCAAAAGGUGAGAUGUUUUUGUUUGUACGGGAAGGCAUGCGAUUUAUAAGAUAAACAAUUGUGUCAAAAGCAAAAUGCCAAAAACAUUGCGGAACAGAGGAUUGGGCAAGAAGAGUAAGACCGGUUUCCACAACAUACAAGAGCGUUUUGUUCACUUGUAUGAGGACAAGAUAGGUGAUGGGUGAUACCGAGAGAUGAGAAAAAUUGUGAAAGAUUCCGAAAUUCACUGCCCCAAUCAGUUUGAACUGAUUUUAACUUAGUUUGGAACUGCCAUUCAACAGUAAGAAUAAAUUGUUUGAAAGUAUUAUAGACAUCAGAUUUGGCUUUUAAAGGAAAAAACCACAUAAAGCGGGAAAAAUGAUCAACACACAAUAAAAAAUAUCGAUGCCCAUCAAAUGAGGUAACGGGAGCAGGUACCCAAACAUCACAGAAAAGUAAGUCUAAAAUAUGAGAGCUUUUAUAAGUAGCGGAUGACAAAUGAAGUUUAGAGGAUUUGCCAAUAGAACAUGAAGUAGAAGUUGAAGUAACAUGUUUAUCUAGUAAAGGUAAACUAUAUUUAGAAAUCAUUGACUGCAACAACUGCUGGUGAGGUUGUCCAAGGCGUUGAUGCCAAGUGAUCGAAGAAGCACGAGUGGCAAAGAAAGCAACUUUGGUGGAAGUUGUUGGGUUAAUCGUUUAUUUACCAGGUCACGGAUACGGGUCAAUAGGUCGAUGAUCUGGUAGCUUAUUGGUCAUGGGUAACUGAUGGAGUUUACAAGCAUAUCUAUAAAUAAUAAAGAUGGAAAAUAAAAGGUGUUUACUUGUUCAUAAGUGGACCGAUUCUUGAGGGGUCUUCCCAUAUUUUACUUUUCUUUAGGAGUAAGUUUAGAACGUGGGUAUGAUAUAUUACUUAAAGAGAAGAGAUGCUAUAGCUAGAGUUGUAGUAGAUGUAGUAACUUUGUUUUUUUUUAAUAUAAUAAGAAGCUUCUCCAUUUUCUGUUGCAAGUUUAUAUUCACAUACAUACGUGCAUAGUGUGUGUUUUGUGUGUUUUUUUCAAGGACCUGUGACAACAAUUGGUAUCAUAAUGUUAGCUUAAGGAGAAAAGUGGCAGGUUCCUUUUUUUUGUCACAACUUUUGGANGGCAGCUUCCUUUUGUUAGUCACAUAACUGUGGACAGAAAGUAAACAAAGAAACUUCUCUACCCAAAUAAUUAUAACACGGAAUUGAUAGAGGGAAGUAAGGGAAAAAGGGCUAUAUAUUAUUAAUAUCAGUAGAGGCUAUAUAUAGCCUUCUUAGAUACCCAUGUGAACUACUCAACCUAAAGAUCCGGUCUAAGCUAAGGACCCGUACACUUGCACAUGAUCCGGUCAAAACUAAAUACACAUUCUAAAUAAUCUACUAUUUUCUAAACCAUAAAAUAUAAAACAAUAGAAAACUUAUUAAAUUCAAAGUUUCAGCCAUGCACAAACCAAUUAACCCAGCAAUCACCCCCUUAAUUGGUUUACUCAUAGCACUCCUUCACAGCAAUGCCGACUCUUCUUCAAUUAGAUUUGCCUCUUGCUUCUCCCACUUUGGACACUCAUUGCUAUAAUGACCAUACUCACCACAUUUGUAACAUUUAACGUGACUUUUAUCCCAGACACGUUCAUUUCCAUCUCGACUCUUCCCGGACCCCCGACCUUUUCCCUAGCCACGUCCAAAGUCAUCCCGAUUUGAACCUCCACUGCCACAAUGUUUACAACCAUGUGGUUUUUCUUGACUAGCCAAUAGCAACUUACCUUGAGUGUCUUCCGUGUUUUUAUUUCCUUUUAUUCGUUCCUCGUAAGCUUUCAACCUUCCAACAGCCUCAUCAAACAACAUAAAGUCUAGCUCGAAACAUUGUUCAAUUGUCGCCACAAUUUGGAGAAAGGACUUGGGCAUAGAAUCAAGUAACCUUUUCACCAAGUCAACUUCUUCAUGUUCAUGUCCGAGACUCCGUGCUUUCGAAGCUAAACCACUUAACUUGGCUGCAAAAUCAUCAACGGUUUCUCCCUCCUUCAUAUGCAAGCUUUCUAGUUCCCUCUUCAAAGUUGCUAAUCGAGUCGUUCUUACCCGAUCCACACCCAAAUACCAAGUUUUUAAGCCUUCCCAAACCCUUUUUGGAUCGGUGUAAUUGGACAUUUGCAACACCAUCUCUUCUGGUAUUGCUUGAAACAGGAAAGCAAAAGCUUAUUUCUUCUUCUUUAGAUCUGAUUUGUCACCCAAUACCCUCGCUUCAACGGUAUCCCAUAUGCCAUUUGCAUCCAUAAUGGAAUUCACUUUGACCGCCCAUACCGGAUAAUUUGUUGGCGUCAGAACCGGAACCUGAUAUGUCAUUGAACCACCUUCUUUUGCUGGUACCAUGGUCACUAUUUUCUUUCUUUUCACAGCCCCAAUCUCUUCCGAUCUCACCUGUUCGAGGAGCUUUUUCCACCAGUCAAGAAAAAAAAGCUUCUGCCUAUCUUGUUUUCUUUUACCUAGCAAGCAGGCCAAACCAAAAUCCCACCCGUUUUGAUUUUUUCUGCUUGUCUCUUCCGCUUCUGGUUAGGCUCCUCUAACACCGAACAGAUGGAUCAAGGAUGGAGGCUGCAAUUUUUUCAACCUGCUAACAGAAAGGAGUUACACCCCCUUCACCAGAACCGUGGGGCUUUGAUACCAAAUGUUAGUUUAAGGAGAAAAGUGGCAGCCUCCUUUUGUUAGUCACAAUGAAACUUCUCUACCCAAACAAUUAUAACAUGGAAUUGAUAGAGAGAAGUAAGGGAAAAAGGGCUAUAUAUUAUUCAUAUCAGUAGAGGCUAUAUAUAGCCUUCUUAGAUACCCAUGUGAACUACUCAACCUAAAGAUCCGGUCUAAGCUAAGGACCCGUACACUUGCACAUGAUCCGGUCAAAACUAAAUACACAUUCUAAAUAAUCUACUAUUUUCUAAACCAUAAAACAUAAAACAAUAGAAAACUUAUUAAAUUCAAAGUUUCAGCCAUGCACAAACCAAUUAACCCAACAAAAGUAGGCUGGAAUCACGGAAGAUGGAAGGAGUAAAGGCCGCAACUACUUGGACCCGUGAGGAGGGUAGUGUGAGUAAUCUCGUCCUUCACAACAAAAAAAGAAGUGUGAAAUUCAAAGUAAACAUUAUUAUCAUGGAAAAAUUUUUGAACAGAGAGAAGAUUUUGUUUGAUUUCUGGGACAUGAAGCAUUUGUGAGAGAUGAAAAGUUUUAUAUGGAGAGUAAAGCUGUGAGGAACCGAUAUGAAGAAUGGGUAAACCUUUACCGUUCUUAACAUGUAGAGUGUCAUGACCGUUGUAUGUCUCAGAAUGAUCAAAGCUGGAGAGGUUGGCUGUAACAUGAUUAGUUGAACUAGUAUCGGUGACCCAAGAAGAGGAAACCUGGGAACGGUAAUCAGCAAAAUUAGCAGAGGGUUGUUGUCUCGUACAAAUCGUUGCGGGAUCACGUUUAGGGCACUGGGAUGGAACAUGGCCAAUACCGCACUUGUUACAUGUGCCAUAAACAAUAUUUUGAUUAGAUGCCCAAGUAAACCGAGUUCGAUUACCUCCUUGUUGUCAGUUAUUAUAGUUUCCACGACCUUGGUUAUUUGUUGAGCGAUUGUUGCGAUUGCUGCCUGAUUGGUUUGUGUAGAAGGCUUGGGCUGGUGGUGAACUUGUUGGUUGAAGUUGUAACCCAAGCUGUUGUGCAAGUUGUUGAAUAGCCUGGACAGCAUCACCUUGUGACAGGGAGUGUCCGACAAGAGAGGGAUUAGGUUGUUGGGUGGCAGCAGUGAAUACUUGAGCUGGUGGCACCUCUGUAGAGGUCUUUCUGAUCAUGUAGUCGUGGUCGGAGAGAAGACCAUUAAAUUCAGCAAAGGCAGUGGCAGAGUGUUGGGCUAACAAGGUGGAUUUCAACCUAUUAUAUUCGUCUCUUAAACCUGAUAUAACAAGCAUCAUUAGGUUCUUUUCUUUUAUUGGUUCACCAAUGUUGGCUAGAGCAUUAGAGUACUCUUGUGCUCGAGUUAAAUAGGCAGAUGAAGAUUCAUCUUCCUUCAUUGAAAUUUUCAAGAGUUGGGUUUUAAGAGUAUAUUCAUGAGAGGAGGUAUGAGGAGCAGAACCACAUUCUAAAGACAGCCAAAGGUCACGAGACGUAUUUCCUUGAACAUGUUGAAAAGAGGUUUCUAAGGUGGUGGACAGAAUGAGCAUCCGAAAAUGUGCAUCAUUGGAUACCCAAGCUUUGUAACAAUGGUUGGAUGUCGAUGUGGAGGUCACUGCGUCUCCUUCUUUGCCAGAAGAUGUGGUGGAUACGAUGGUGGCUGGAGGGCACAAUAUGGUGCCAUCGACAUAACCAAACAAAUAGUUAGUGAUCAAGAAUAGUUGUAACAUGGUUUUCCAGUACCCAUAAUUGCUUGGAGUCAAAGUAAAAGCAAAUUUAUGAGAACUGUGGCUUUUUUUCUCGGUUGUAGAAAAAAUCGUGAUGUCUGCCAUUGUACUAGUUGGUCGACGAUGGGUGUAGAGGGGUUGUUAUGGCCGCUUUAGGGUUAGUGAUAAAAGCGCUCUGAUACCAAAAUAAACUUGGUGAAUAAGGAAUUGUAUUCUUAAAAAUCAUACGUAAGCAAGGAUUACAAGAAUAUAUAUAGUAAAUACAUUUACAUUAACACCCCCUGUAGAAUAUAAACUAUAUAUAUAUAUAUAUAUAUAUAUAUAUAUAUAUAUAUNNNNNNNNNNNNNNNNNNNNNNNNNNNNNNNNNNNNNNNNNNNNNNNNNNNNNNNNNNNNNNNNNNNNNNNNNNNNNNNNNNNNNNNNNNNNNNNCUCUAGUGGCAGGAAAUCAUCUACGACCCGUAGUUCGUGUAAUGCGAGAAUCAUCUUCUUAUAAAUGCCUUUGCUUCCUUACACCAUUCCAUUACCAACCAUAUCCUUACAUUGUUACCGACACUAAUAGCCUUUAACAUAUCACCAAGCGUUGUGACACGAAGUUAUGAGUCGCCCCGUUGUCAAUUAGUAUCACCACUUCGAGACCGCCCAUGUUUUCACGUAUUUUCAUAGUGUAUAGGGGCGUUUACAAUAUAUCCGAGUUUAAUUUGACUUCCUCUGCAUCCAAGUGAGCAUGAUCCUAGCUUGUAUCUAAGGAUGUUAUAAAUGAGUCGACCUACUGGCGUGCUACUUGGGAUUGGAUAGUUAAAAACUCGAAAUGAGUCGAGCCAUAACAAGCCCGAACCAGAGCUCGAUGCUAGAAUAAAUCUCAUUUAACAAACAAGCCUCAUCUUGAGCCUACACUUAAGAGUUCGUUUUAUUUCGUGGGCUUAAACAAGUUUUUUUAUAAUUUGUUUUUAUUUUUAUAUAUUUUAUUUAUUACUUAUAUAUUAAUAAAAUAUGAAAAAAUAACGAGUCGAUCCCGACCUUUAGCGAGAUUUACGGAGAAACGAGCCUUAAUGAGCCUUAACGAGCCGAUCCCAAGGUUCACAUAUGUUCUACAAGCUCGAGCUCGAGCUUUAGUAGCUUUAAAGGAGCAUGGAUCGUUGUGAAUCUCGAUUCGGCUCAACUCUUUUACAUCUCUAUGUAUCAGACUGUUCUUCCUUCCUUCCUUCCUUCCUGGUCCUCUUCUUCGUCUUAUUUUCCCAUUAGGCUAUUUAUAGGACCCGUUAGGGUAACAAUUGCCCCCUGCAAACUUGGCAUCGUAGUUUUAGCAUAACCUUUUUUCCCUUUUAGCAGCAAGUUCAACAUUCGUAAGUCUUUUGAAUGUCCAUGGCUAUGCUCCAUGCCUCCUCCAACAUUCCUAUCGUAGGUUUCCAUAGCUCCUUGGGUUUGCAUAGGCAUCAUAUUGCUUCCAAAAUCCAAUUGUGUUGCUGAUGAUCGGAAUAGCCCACGCCCUGAUCGUUCCCUCUCUCAUUGACACGGUUCUCAUUACCGCCAAUCCCAUUGUGUGGGUCAAGCCCUAGGGUUAUAUGACCCUCACCAAGUAUCUAGGUUCUGAUUUUAGCUGCUUGAUGGAAGUUCUUUCCCGAAAUUUAUAAUAUAAUCCUAUAAUACUGGAACGUCCUCUCCUUUCGGAAACGAUCAAGGAGACACCGUGUCAGUCCUCUUCAUAUGGAAACGUAUCGAAACAGUAACGUUUAGACAAUAAAAAGACAAAUCUCCCUAUUAAUUAAUAACGCUGUUUCUGAUGACGCUUAUAGACUUGUCCAAAUUUGCAAGAUGAAUCAGGUUAAUGAAGCUAAGACUCGAAACGACGAACCAGAGACAGCCUCCUGAUGAGUGUUUAUGUCUUGGGUAAUGAAAUGGAAGAUGUUAAGAGUAAACAUGACUAUGGCAUAAAAUUCUGAUCCAAAUUCAUACAAUGAGGUUUUUAAAAGGAAGAAUUGAUGAAUUGUUGUGAUGGAUGCAUGAGAUCAAGUCGACUAAGAAGACGACUAAUGGAGCUUAGUUGGGCUGCCAAAAUGAGCUAAAACUAGUGAAUCCAUACGACCAAGCUGAUGCAUAAGGCCUUAUUAGUAGCAAAAAAAGAGACUCAUAGAGGUAUGGAGUUGAUUAUUUACAAGUUGAUGUACCUCGUAUGGAAACAGUAGGAACUAAUAUGGCAUUGGAUUCUCAAAAAAGGUGGAACAUCUACCAGCUACAAGUCAAAUCUCUUUUUCUAGAUGGAAAGCUGAAUGAAGAUGUGUACCAAAGAAAACACAAGGGUUAAAAGUAAAGGCUUUAGAGAGGAAAGUGUACAAAGAACAUAAAGUUCUCUAUCGGUUCAAACAANCAUUUUGAAAUUGAUCUGCAUUUUGUCAGGGAAAAAUUGAGAAUGGAAUUUUAAAAGUAAAUAAAAUAGUAUCUUCUAAUCAAAAUGCAUAUAUUUUAACAAAGUCACUUGGUAGUGUUCAACAUGAAUACAUUGUAAAUCGACUUAAUAUGAUUGAUGUUUUUAAAAAGUAAUAAAAUAUUUUCAAAAAUUAAUGUUUAGUUUGAGGGGGCAUGUUGAAAAGAGUUAAUAAAAUAUUCAAACUUAAACAUUAAUUUGUUAGUUAUUUGGUAAAAGUGUUAUACAAUAUAUUUGUGUGGAUAUUGUGGUAAGUUGUAAUGCAGGUAAAGGAUACACGCGGAUCAAUGGGUCUAUGGGUUAUACCCGAAGUCUAGUGGGUCGAUGUAUAUAAUGUGUUAAAUGAUCUCAUUUGUAGCUACCAAUAUAUUUUCUCAUCUGUAUUUCUCAGUUUCUCUUUCAUCUUGAGUUUGGGUUUUCGUUUAGGGUUUGUUCAUAAAUCGUUGUCACACUAGAUUUGUAAUAUGAGUGUGUGAGUGAUUUUGUAGUGAGGUUUGAUUUGUUACCUAUUGAUGUAAGCCAUCUGUUUCAUAGUGAAUGAAAUGAUGAUGUUGGGAAGAUCUUGUUUCGAUUACGUUUCUUUACAUGGUAUCAGAGCUAUGGCUCCUUCGGUGUUCUUGUGACGUUCGUUGAUUUGCGAUUGUUCGUCUCACGAUCGUACUGGUAAUUUCUGAACUCCUUUCUUUAUUUGCUCUUUGAUUGACGCAGUUGUUUGUUUAAUCAUGAGUUCCUGUGAACUAUGAUCUUCUAUUUCAUCAACUGUGUUCUUCUUGAUGUUCGUUUUGAUUUAGGGUUUUCUCUGGAAAAUUAUUCUGAAGUAGCUGAGGAUAUUUAGGAAAAUCUUUUUGAAACUUACAAUAAGUCUGAUGGAUCUGUUGUUUUUAAUAUACAUCAACAAAUUAAUUCCCUUAAACAAAAUGGUACUUCUCUGUCAGAUUACUUCAAUAAGCUUGAUUCUUUAUGGAAAGAAUUUGAUGGUCUUACUAGUUUAACUGAGUGUACAUGUGAUGCUUCUAUUAAACUAAAGGAUCAUUCUAAUCUCAUGAAGCUUAUGCAGUUUUUAUAUGGACUUGAUGAUUCAUAUAGUCAAGUCAAAAGUCACAUUUUAUUAAUGGAUCCCUUACCUAAUGUGAAAACUGCUUUUUCUAUUGUGUGUAGAGAAGAAACACUUCAAAGAAAUGGUUCUUUGACUUCUCUUCAGGCUUCUCAGUCUCUAAAUAAAUCUCAGUCAUCUACUUUUAAUAGCAAGUUUAAUAACAAGACUAAUGUUAAUAAGAAUAAGGGUUAAAUUGUUCAAGUUUAAUAACAUAUGAUUGCCUCUGAGUCACUACUCCAUGACACUGUGGAUGUGUCAAAAUUAGAUUUGCUGGUUUGUCAUCCCAAUGGUACAUCAGUUAAGAUUGAAAAAAUUGGUUACAUGAAUUUAUCUAAUUCUUUAACACUAUUUGAUGUGUUUGCUGUUCCUGAUUUCAAUGUUAAUUUUCUUUCUGUUCAUAAGGUCUAUAAAGAUAGUAAUUGUGAGGUUGUUUUUAAUGAGAAUAAUUGCAAAAUUCGGGAUUUACAGUCAAAGGUGAUGGUGGGGAAUGGUAGAGAGUCUGGAGGUCUCUUUUACAUUAAUAGUGCACCUUUAGGUAGUCUGUCUAAUUCUUCUAUUUCUUCUUCUGUUUGUUGUGUGUCUAAACUAACUUGGCACAAUAGACUUGGUCAUCCUUCUGAUCAAGUUUUGAGUUCUUUGAGACAUAGACUUAAGAUUGGAAGUGAAGUUCUUCCACCUUGUGACAUUUGUCAUAAGGCUAAACAAACUAGAGAAUCUUUUCCUGUUAGUCAACAUACUACUUCUAAACUUGGUGAGUUAAUUCAUUUAGAUGUUUGGGGUCCUUAUAAAGUGACAACUACAGAAGGAUUUAGGUAUUUUUUGACUAUUGUGGAUGAUUUUACUAGGGCAACUUGGGUUUAUCUUUUAAAUUCUAAAGAUGAAGUUUAUGAUUCUGUUCUUGUUUUCUUUAAUAUUUUGAUUUAUCAGUUUAGUUUUAAAAUAAAGGCAGUACAAAGUUUUUAAAUAACAGAAUGAGACAAUUAACUGAAUCAAAAGGAAUUUUGCAUCAAACAUCUUGUGUUCAUACUCCACAACAAAAUGGUGUUGUGGAGAGGAAACACAGACACAUUUUAAAUGUUGCUUGGUCUUUAAUUUUUCAGUCUGGUUUGCCAAUUAAACACUGGGGAGAUGCCAUUUUAACUUCAGUUUUUUUGAUUAAUAGAACACCUACUUCAAUCUUAAAUGGUUCUUCUCCCUAUGAACUUGUUUAUAAUUGUGCACCUGUUUUUGAUAAACUUAGGGUAUUUGGAUGUUUGUGUUUUGUCUCUAAGUUGAAUAAUAAUGAUAAAUUUUCUGAAAGAGCUGAUAAGUGUGUUUUUCUUGGUUAUUCUUUUAAUAAAAAGGGUUACAAAGUUCUUAGUCUUGAUUCUAAUCUUAUUUUUGUUUCCAGGGAUGUAAAGUUUUAUGAGUCUGUGUUUCCUUUCAAGCUUAAAACUUCAUCUUUAACUGAUAGUUCAGUUGUCACUGUGAAUUCAAAUGACCUAUUUUCCUAUGAUGAGUCUUUAGAUUCUAGUUUUAUUCUAGAUAAUACUAGAGCAGAUAACCUGAGGAGUAGCCAUCAGAUGGAUGGUGCUAAUGCAGACCAGGACCAGGAUGAGACUUGUCCCUCUAAUGUCAGCAACCGGACUGGUGAGGCAUAUGUGCCUCCCUCUGAUGUGUUGUUUCCAAGCUCUUCUGCAUUGACUGAGGAAAAUGAUUCAAUUAAUUCUAAUCCUUCUGAAAGUUUGUCAACUAGGAUCACUAGAUCUGGAAGGAAUGUUCACAUGCCAGUUAGAUUUAGUGAUUAUGUUGUAGAGGGUACACAUAAAUAUGGUAUUGAAAGAACUGUAAAUUAUUCAGGUCUUAAUACUGAGUCUUUCUGUUUUAUUUCUAAUCUUAAUAAAACAGUUGAACCUAAGACUUAUAGUGAAGCAGCUUUAGAUCCAAAUUAGAUCAAAGNAUAUGAAGAGACGAUUAGGAAGGACUUUAGGCAGGAUUACGAAGAAACACUAGGAAUUUUAUUAUUAAAAAGGUAUCAUCUUAUAUAAAGCUAUACACAGCUCAACAGUUGUAAGCUAGAGCUCAGUUAAUGCGUAUCCGAAGUAAGUCGGUGCAGAUUUUCAUCAAACACUUGUACUGCAGUUCAAUGGCACCCAUAAAUAACAUCAAGCUUAGUUUGUGUAGCUUCUAAUGAUAAACGCCGGAUUCCAUAAAUAGGGUUUUUUUGAGUCCUUUACUUUAUUUUGUUUCCGUUUUUAUUUUUGCAUCAGAAGCUAAACUCUUGGGCUUCAGUUUCUUUUCUGUUAUGAGUCCUUUGGUUGGUCUCUCUCACCUGGUAUAUAUAGGUGUUAUCCUGCUGUACGACUUAUGAAUAAUUUUAUGAACUUCAACUAUUUCAUCAGGGUUGCCCUGUGAAAGUCUUAUAUAAGCCCUAAUUCCAUUGUUGAGCUUAACAUUAAACUGUUGCAAUACAACCCCUCCUUUUUCUAAAUUUCUUCGUGACCCACAUAUUUUAUUAUUUUGUUUUGCAUAAAUUACACGAAUGGUCCCUGUGGUUUUUGAUAAUCUACACGCUUGGUCCCUAAUGUUUUUUUUUUAACUUGGUCCAUCCCUAUAACAUGUUUUUAUUGCGCGUUUUGCCCCUGACAUACUUAAAAAUACUAUACUGCCCUUUGAUGUGAAUUAAGAGCAUUUGAUUUGGCAUGUGGAAUUAAAUGAACAAAAAAAACACUGUAGUUGAAAUGAAUUCGAGUAUGAAUUCUAAGAUCAGAGUAAAGUAAGAAUAUUACUAGAAACUAAGAAAUCAUCACACUUUAAAAACAUCAAACAUACGUUUCUGAAAUCCAUCAAACACAAGUUUUUGAAAUCCAUCAAACACAAUUUAUUAACAUAAGAUACUAAAAACUAUCAGAAGCUAUCUUUAUGGCAGAGAGAACAAGCAAUGCCAUGUCAUCCAAACUGCUUCAACAGCCUCAAACUUAGCCACUUGCUCCUGGAAGCAUAGGGUCUCGCUUAAUCAACUGAGAAAUCAAAAGGGGAAGUCAGUGAACAGUCAACAUUAUAUAUACCAGACUCAAAGAGUAAAUAAUAGUUGCAAUUGAAGUGCAUUGCAAGAAUACAAAUAAAUGAAAUUGAAGUGCAUUGCAAGAAUACAAAUAAAUGAAGGCCAAAUGUAUACUGGGUGAAGGUAAUGAGUCUGUUACACUUCUUAUUAGGCAUACGUUUCGUCCUGUCAGUUGUGGCUUAAGUAGAGCCGUGAGGGCAAUAAGGUUUUUUUACUGUUAGAUCAGUUAGGUAGGCUUAGUUGAGUGGUUAGUGUUAGUAGUUGGUAUCUUUGGUCAUAACAGAAUAUAAGUGAAUUCAGGAAGAGUUCCUAGCUUCUUGAAUGCUAGUAAACUUAAGUAUGCUCCAUGAUCAAAACUUUAAACUAUAGACAAUGUCCUUUUGCAGACCUCAUAUAUUACAAAAGAAAAUGAGAGCAUCCCAUGAGUAAACAUGAAGAUUGAGCUAUGAGGCCUAGAUCAACACAGUUUUUUAGGGAUGUACAGGAAUCAUCAUAAGCAUUAAUAAGAAUUCAGUAUCCAGAUAUAAUUCCACAGUUUGUAUUAUAUGAUAAACAAAAUGAACGCACCUUACAACUCUUCUUGCUAUUACUCUCUUGUAUCUUUCUCUUUGGCCUCCCAUUAACAUAGGGAGAUACAAGACUCUCCAUAUAGAUAGGGGCACAAAUAUAUUCCUUAGUCUUGUAGAACAGCAUAUCACGACACAAAGUUCUCUUGUUAGGAACGUAAUGUUCCUGCUCUUUCAAGCAUUGUAAAGCUAAGUUCAUAUCACAGUCCUUUUCAAACAUUUCCCAAGACAGCUUUCCAUUGUAGUUCUUCAGCAUCCAUAAGUUAUCGUUAAACCCAUCACAAGGAAAUACGCAUAAACAAUCUUCGAUAAUACCUAAAUUCAUAUUUGGGCAGCUAGCAACACCAGAUUCAUAUCGCUCAUCAUCAGGUUCGGAAAUUUUGAUAAAUUUUUCUUCAGAUAGCUGAAACGAAGCAAUGACUCUCUUCUUAUUUGGAGAUGAAGAAUCUUUCAUAAUCCAAUGAAGUGCCCCAUUGCAUAAGAUACCAAUCCUACUAUGAAAUGAAUACUUUACAUCUCCAAUUAGUUUCCAAACAUUUGAUUUCAAACUUAACACUUGAAAACACGUCCAACCAACACGUUUACGGAACCCUAAUACAACCUUGUAAUCAUCCGUAGAUGAAUCAUAGCCAAAACCCCAACAUAAAUGCUUGGUAUCAAGAAUUUGAGGCUCUUGUAGUGUUUGAACCUCUCUAGUUGAGGGAUUAGCUACUACAAGUUGAGAAGCAAAAGAAGAGAUGCAUACAAGUCCAUUGGAAGAACCAAGAAGAUGACAAUCACGAUCAUCAAAUAAUCUAUCAUCAACAUCACAAACACGCGACCCGUUGCGAUAAGAGACCCUUGACAUAACAAUCCUCCUAUCUAUAUCAUUGUUUUUGUAAUCAAUUUGGUAACUAUAGUUCAUAUGGAAUUUAAUGAAACCAGAGUCAGAGAUCAAAUUUUCCCAAGACUUACAUACACUUUUGCAUCGGAUUAGAUCGCUCACAUUCAAUCUUUUCAGUAUAUUCGGAAGGACAUCAUCGUGAAGCUCUGCCAUCGAAACCCUAGAGUCGGCAAUCCGAUAGGAAAGAAAAGGGGGGGGGGGUACCCACACGAUAGUGAGAAAUUUAUUUCUAUGGGGUAUUUAUUAGGGAUUUUAGUUAUCAACACUCAUAAAUGCGAAACAUGAUACGAAGAUAUUAUUACCAUGAUAUUUUAGCAUAGAGUGAAAUUCAUUUACUGAAAUGACUUUUACAAACCUACCAUAUAUGAUUAGUAUAUCAAUAUCGAUAAGAUCACUAAUGACAUCAAGACAUCAUGAUCCUCGAUAAUUGCUUUGCUACACCAACUGAAAUCAGUGUUAAUAACAUACCUUCUUUCUCAAGUAUUUCUUUUAAAAUGAUAUUGUAACCCUCUGACCUUGGCAACCCAAUCUUAAAAUUUAUUGUCAUGUCCACCCACACAUUUUUUUUUGGUAAUUCUAAGGGUUGCAACAAUCCUCUCGAUGCCAUUGUGAAAUAUUUAUGGUGUUGACACACGUCACACUCCGCCAUCAUUCUUGCUAUGCCUUUACACAUACCCUCCUAGUAUACAUCCUUUACCAUCUUUUGGUAAGUUUUUUUGUACUCCUGAAUGUCCCGCAAUUGCACUCGCACGUCACUCAUGAGAUACACAAGGAACUCAAGAUGAUGAUCGAGGCAGCACUAAACAACUUUGAUAAAGGAUUCAGUCACCUUCAUCACUAAGCCUCGGUGGUGCGGAAGUCCCUUCUCGAACUUGCUGCCUUAUUAUCCACAAUUCUCGAGCCCAGGACAGCUCUCACAAAACCUCAUUCCAUUAGACUACCCAUGGUACUGAAAGGGUACCGAAGGAUGAUGAUGUCCCCUUUCAUGAAUGUACAUCAGUCGUGUUUUUUUUUGGUCCUAUA